rnacentral:rRNA from 1 species
UACGUAGGUGGCAAGCGUUGUCCGGAUUUACUGGGCGUAAAGAGCGCGCAGGCGGUCGUUCAAGUCGCGUGUGAAAGCCCCCGGCUCAACUGGGGAGGGUCACGCGAUACUGAUCGACUCGAAGGCAGGAGAGGGAAGUGGAAUUCCCGGUGUAGUGGUGAAAUGCGUAGAUAUCGGGAGGAACACCAGUGGCGAAGGCGGCACUCUGGGCCGGAACUGACGCUGAGGAGCGAAAGCGUGGGGAGCGAACAGG